rnacentral:rRNA from 1 species
CUGGUUGAUCCUGCCAGUAGUGAUAUGCUUGUUUCAAAGAUUAAGCCAUGCAUGUCUAAGUAUAAGCGAACUUAUACAGUGAAACUGCGGAUGGCUCAUUAAAACAGUUUGAAUUUAUUUGAUGAAUGUAUGAGAAUACUACUUGGAUAACCGUAGUAAUUCUAGAGCUAAUACAUGCAACGACGCCCGACCGUUUCACUACGGAAGGGCUGUAUUUAUUGGAUACCAAAACCAUCCUUCCCUCGGGAAGUUUUGUUUGAUGAUUCACAAUAACUGAUCGGAUCGCCACUGUGGUGGCGACAGGUCAUUCAACAUUCUGCCCUAUCAGCUUUCGAUGGUUGUGUAGUGGACAACCAUGGCCAUAACGGGUAACGGAGAAUCAGGGUUCGAUUCCGGAGAAGGAGCUUGAGAAUUGGCUACUACAUCUAAGGAAGGCAGCAGGCGCGCAAAUUACCCAAUCCCGAUUCGGGGAGGUAGUGACAAAAAAUAACAAUACCGGGCCUUUUUGGGCUUGGUAAUUGGAAUGAGGGAGAGUUAAACGGACCAUCGAGUAUCCAUUGGAGGGCAAGUCUGGUGCCAGCAGCUGCGGUAAUACCAGCUCCAAUAGCGUAUAUUAAAGUUGUUGCAGUUAAAAAGCUCGUAGUUGGACUUGUGUGCGCUGUCCGCGGGUGGCCUGCGCCCAAAAGGGCGUUUCGGUUCGGCCCCGGUGGCGCCUUGAAAUCUGCAGCUGGGGGGACGUUGGCCUUAACUGGUCGGCGACCGCACGCCGGCUGCUCGGUUACUGUGAGAAAAUUAGAGUGUUCAAGGCAGGCAUUGGGUGCAAUUGAAUACAUUAGCAUGGAAUAAUAAAAUAUGGCUCCUGCCGUAUUUUGUUGGUUUUGACUGGUGGGAGUAAUGAUUGAUAGGGACGGUUGGGGGUGCUAGUAUUGAGCGGCCAGAGGUGAAAUUCAUGGAUUCGCUCAAGACUAACUUAUGCGAAAGCAUUCACCAAGGACGUCCUCUUUAAUCAAGAACGAAAGUUGGGGGAUCGAAGACGAUCAGAUACCGUCGUAGUCUCAACCAUAAACUAUGUCGACUUGGGAUCGGCGGUAGUUUUUUCAUUAAGACACUGUCGGGACCACGGGAGAAAUCAAAGUGUCUGGACUCUGGGGGAAGUAUGGUCGCAAGGCUGAAACUUGAAGGAAUUGACGGAAGGGCACCACCAGGAGUGGAGCCUGCGGCUUAAUUUGACCCAACACGGGGAAACUUACCAGGUCCAGAGAUGUAGAGGAUUGACAGAUUGAAGCUCUUUCUUGAUCACUUCGGUGGUGGUGCAUGGCCGUUCUUAGUUGGUGGAGUGAUUUGUCUGGUUAAUUCCGUUC